rnacentral:rRNA from 1 species
GACGUAGGGUGCGAGCGUUGUCCGGAUUUAUUGGGCGUAAAGAGCUCGUAGGCGGCUUGUCGCGUCGACCGUGAAAACUUGGGGCUCAACCCCAAGCCUGCGGUCGAUACGGGCAGGCUAGAGUUCGGUAGGGGAGACUGGAAUUCCUGGUGUAGCGGUGAAAUGCGCAGAUAUCAGGAGGAACACCGGUGGCGAAGGCGGCUCUCUGGACCACAACUGACGCUGAGGCGCGAAAGUGUGGGGAGCGAACAGG